rnacentral:rRNA from 1 species
ACGCAUGAAGCUUACCAGUACUAAUCGUUCGAUUGGCUUGAUCGUUCCCAUU